CCUACGGGUGGCAGCAGUGGGGAAUAUUGGGCAAUGGACGCAAGUCUGACCCAGCAACGCCGCGUGAAGGAAGCAGGCUUUCGGGUUGUAAACUUCUUUUACGGGGGAAGAGCAGAAGACGGUACCCCUUGAAUAAGCCACGGCUAACUACGUGCCAGCAGCCGCGGUAAUACGGAGGAUGCGAGGGUUAUCCGGAUUUAUUGGGUUAAAAGGGUGCGUAGGCGGACUGUUAAGUCAGCGGUAAAAGCCCGGGGCUCAACCCCGGCGAGCCGUUGAAACUGGCUGUCGUGAGAUGUCGAGAGGUAUGCGGAAUGCGCAGUGUAGCGGUGAAAUGCUUAGAUAUUGCGCAGAACUCCGAUUGCGAAGGCAGCAUACCGGCGGCGAUCUGACGCUGAGGCACGAAAGCGUGGGUAUCGAACAGGAUUAGAUACCCUUGUAGUC
rnacentral:rRNA from 1 species